rnacentral:rRNA from 1 species
UACAGAGGGUGCGAGCGUUAAUCGGAAUUACUGGGCGUAAAGCGCACGUAGGCGGCUUGGUAUGUCGGGUGUGAAAUCCCCGGGCUCAACCUGGGAACUGCAUCCGAAACUGCCUUGCUAGAGUAUGGGAGAGGGAAGUGGAAUUUCCGGUGUAGCGGUGAAAUGCGUAGAUAUCGGGAGGAACACCAGUGGCGAAGGCGGCUCGCUGGACAUCAACUGACGCUGAGACGCGAAAGCGUGGGGAGCAAACAGG